UUCUCUUGAAGGAAUGCCGGAAGGGAUGCUCUGGAAGGGGUGUUCUGGUUAAGAGCAUGUAGUGACAGCCAGCAUUCAUAUAAUUCGACUUGAUUUUACAGAGGGGGAAGCUGAGGCACAGAGAAGCUAAGCCACACAGUUAAUCUAUGGUGGAGAUGAGAUUUGAGCCUAGCCAUGUAAGUGUCCCAGUCCCUUUGCUUAACCACUAGGCAACACUGCCCCUUAACAUCGCUGAGAGAUCUCAGGCUCUGUGAUUCUAAGAAUCUCGACUCUAGCACUGUAAGAGUGUAAUUUUCUAAGAUUCUAUGCUUUGGAGCCGACUUUGUAAUCCUAAAAUGUCGAUGACACUGCUCCAUUUUUUGGAGAGCCAGCGUGAUCUUUCUCGUGAUCUGCCUUUAAACUUGGUUUAAGUAACAAUUAUUGGCUUGUUUUGAUUUCUUUGUUGUUUCGUAUGGAAGAAAUGUCCUGGCAGCUUCUGGCGCUGUCCCCGCUGCUGCAGGCUGCCAUCCAUCGUGGAUCGGACUGCCUGCAAUCUGCAGUUUCAUGACAACGACGCGGGGGAGAGGCUGGCUCGUAAUGGCCCUGACCAGACUCCAUCCGGCUCUGCCCUGCCCCAGGGAGCUGGGGGAGCUCCCUCUCAGUACCCAGCCAGCUGGUGGAUAAUGUGGGGGUGCUGAUCUGUGGGGGAGAGAGAGGGUGAGGAGGGGAGAGAGUCCCAGAAUAAGCAGGACAAUGAGCAAUGGUGGGCGUUGCUGGCACCCAGCAGCCUCCUCCCUGUGUUUGUGUCCUUGAGGCCCAAUGGGAGGCCCAAAGGAGGUAACCAACUGCGGGUUCCUGGAGAGAAGGCUCCUUCACAAUUCUCCCAGGCAGCAGAUGGGAGAGAACAGAUGCUGCUAGGGAACCUUCUGCAUGCCAGCACCUAGCUAGGUCCUUUACAGGCAAUGAUUAUUUUAAUCACCCCUCCUGUUUCAAGGGUAGAAGUGCCCUUCCCCCACGGCAGCCCCAUCUACCUUCCAAGCACAUCACCUCCUGGUCCUGCAUCAUCAGCCUCUCCCUCUCUGUGGCAUCACUCCUGUAAGCACCCAAGGGAGGCCUAGUCCCCUCCAACUGAAUCGCAAGAGAGAGACUGACCCCUGGACCUCAUGGUCCCCAGAGACUGCCCAAUUUUUCCUCUCGCCUUUUAACAAAACUGCUCAGCAGCUCAAGGCCCUGCUUCCUUACUUCCAGUCCAUCUGGCUAAUGUUUUGGUUACAGUCCUGGGUGGCAUUCCUGCUGCCAAAUUCCAGGGGAGCCUGCCUAGACAGCACAGCACCCAUGAUUCUCCCUUCGCCCCCAAACACUCUCCUCUCUUGACUUGGGUGGCACCGUGCUCUCCUGGUUCCCCUCCUUCUGCUUAGUCUCUCUCCCAGGGCCUUCCACCUCUGGCUGACCUCUAGAUAUUGACAUGUCAGGUACCAGCCUGGCUCCCCUGUCCCCUCUCCUCCACGCCUCUGCUCUAUGCUCUCCUCCUCUGUAUUCUCCUCUUCAGUGAUUUCAUGCAUCCGCUGGCUUGAAAUUCCAUUUCUAAGUUGAUGUUCCCCAAAUUUCUACCCCCAGCCCAGCCCCUGCUGGGUUCCAAGCAUGUGUGUGCAUGCCAUGUAUAUGUGUGUAUGUGUGUAAAUGCGGGUAUGUGUGCAUGUCUGUAUAUGUGUAUGUAUAUGUGCACUUGCGUGCACAUGUGUAUGUAUGUAUGUGCAUAUGUGUACAUGUGUGCAUGCAUGUGUAUGUGUGUGCAAGCAUGCAUGUGUGUGCAUGUGUAUAUGUGUGUGUGUGCGCGUAUGCGUGCAGCUGGACACUUGGUAUCUUUACUCGAUGUCUCGCAGGUAUCUCAAACUCAACACUUGCACACCUGAACUCGUGAGCCCCAGUCUUUCACAUGGGAGGCUGUGGCCCUGCCACAGAGGGACCUGGCCAUCACCCUUGUCUCCUCCCUCUGACCGACCUUCCCACUCAGCAAGUAAAUGUUUGAGAUUCCAGGCUCUCUGCACCGCUCCUUCCUCACAACCUCACCACUGCCCAGGCCGCCAUCAUGACCCACCUGGGCUGUGGUGGCACCUCCUGACAGGCUACUCUUGCCCUCCUACUCCUCUGAGCCCAUUCCCCGCAGGCGAGCCAAAGUGAUCUUUCCAAAACACACCUUAGAUCAUCCUCCUGCAGUUAGACUAAAUCCCAGACUUGUCCAGCCCUCUGAGGUCUUCCCUGACCUGGGACCUCCCCUCCCCUAGCUCUGCUUAGGCUGCUCGGGCCUUUCUGGGCUCCUCCCGGAAUCCAGGCAAGUUCCCACCUGACAGCUGUCACUCAUCUGUCCUCUCUGGAAUGCUCUCCUGCUCUCCACCACACCCUCCCUCCCCACUUGUUCUCUCUUCCUCCCAGUUGCAGCUUAAACGUUAUCUCAUCAGGGGGCCCUUUCUGACUGCAGCCACCCUGCUCUCUCACCCCAAUAUUCUGCACUGAACACCUUCCUCAGUACCCCUUUGUGGGCUUACUCCUUCGCUUUCUUCUGUAUUCUCCCCCAAGUCCUUAUAACCCUCAAGAGCGGGCUGUUUCUUCCUGGCACCUGGCAUACGGCAGGCACGCAGUAAAUAAUGGUGAUGCAGGAAGGAAGAACCUUUGAAAGAGGCAGAAUUAUUCCAGCCUCAGAGACAUGAAAGAACUUGUUCAAGAGUCCACAGGAAAUGAGGAGGCAGCUGUGGUAUCACUAAGAGGGUGCAGGGGGCUGUGAACCGUACCAGGUGACACUGUCAGAGAGGGUGGCACCAAAAUGACUGUCUAUAAAAUAUUUGUGCAGUUUUUUGUAAGCCCAGCUUAUAUGCAUAAAUACACCUACAAGGCUAAAACUCUAUGCUAAUUUACUUUUUGAACCCUCUAACAUACCACAGUCAGAGCUGUCAUUGUCACCCAAUGACAAAGACACUUUGUCAUUGGUUUUGUCUGCACGUGACACAAGCGCGCGCCGUUGUUUUGAUGCUGGUGUUUUUAUAGUCCCUGACUUUGUCAAAUUUUCAGUGCUUUAGCUACAAUAUUGUGGCAUUUAGCAUCUGUAAACCUAUAUCAAUAACUUUUUUGAGAAUGAAGUAGUAAUUAAAGGAAAAGAAAGAGAAAAACCAAAAAAGGGCUUCUGCUCAGUUACUAACAAUGCAACUUAUCACGUUGUAACUCAUGUAGAAAGAUGUUACAAAACAAUUUUGUUGUUAGUACUCCUAUAAUCUAAGAAAUACUACAUUUAAGCAAAUUCUAGCUAUAUUUAUCACAUAUUAUUCUAUGAUUAAAAUUGAUAAUAAACAUUACUAAGGAUUCUGUAUGGUCUGGUACAGGAGGAGGUCCAUGCUGGGGGCCGGAGUUGACACCAGGGUUACCGCACUGGGUGACACCAACCCUAGGGAUGGAACUGGGAAAACCCGUUGCCCCGAGUGGUCUCUGACUUAUAGCGACCCUAUAGAACAGAGUAGAACUGCCCCACAGAGUUUCCAAGGAGAGCCUGGUGGAUUUGAACUGCUGACCUUUUGAUUAGCAGCCACAGCUCUUAACCGCUAUGCCACCAGGGUUGAGGCAGGAUCCAAAUCCAGGCCCUGCAGACGCUGCAGUUCUAGUUAUUCCCUUACUCAGCAGAGGGGGCACCAGAGGGAUCCCAUGACCUUGACAGGCCUGAGUUCAAGUUCUGGCUCCGACGCUUACUGGCUGGGUGAACGGUCAGUUACUUGCUUUGUCUGGUCUUCGGUUGGCUCAUAAGUAACAUGGGGAGGGUAAUAACCAUAACAAUAAGUAACAAUAACAAUUGAUCAUUAUUCAUGAGAUAAAUGCAGGCCAAGUUCUUACCCUGGCUCCGGGCACACUGCAGUUGUGUGAUAAAAUAUUGUCAUUAUUAGUAUUAUUUCUAUCUAUGAGAGGGAGCAAAGAGUAACAUAUUUCUGUCUAUCAGGGUGAAGAGGGAGUAAGGGGUAGCAUAAGGAGGUUCAAAUCCACAGAAGCACCAACCAGAGUUUGUAGACUGGGCAGUAGUGCCUGUCACUCCUAAGGAGAUUAUUUUUCAGUGUGUAUAGAAGCUGUUGGAACGAAAAGCAAGAGUUUAAUCAAAAGCAUUACUGAGCUCCUAGCAGCCUGGUGAUAAUUUUUUUCUCCAUUAAUGAAUACUUGAAGUGAAGCUACUACCAUGUGAGGGUUCAUAAAAUCCUUUGAAAUGACAAAGUGUUCUAAAACUGAAAACUUUUGGAAAUAUGUCUCUACACCAUUCAUAGAACCAUUCAUUCAUUCACUAACUCUUUGUCGAGUUCUUGUCAUGUACCAGGAGUCCCUGGGUGGUGCAAACAGUUAAGUGGUGGACUACUAACCAAAAGGUUGGUGAUUCCAUUCUACCAUAGGUGUCUUGGAAGAAAAGUCCAGUGAUCUGCUUCUGAAAGGUCACAGCUUUGAAAACUCUAUGGAGCACAGUUCUAUUUUGCACAUGUGGGGUCAGCACGAGUUGAAAUUGACUCAAGGGCAAUUGGUUUGGUUUUUGGUCAUGUGCCAGGAAAAGGGCCAGGGAUAAGUUGGCGAACAAAACUGGCACAGUGUCUAUCUUCUGGAGCUGACAUUCCAAUGUGGAGACAGACAGUAAUAAUCAAGGCAGAUGUGUACCGUGCUCCCAGUAAGGGCCAUGUAUCUUUCUAAGUGCCUUACUCAUAAGCCCAUGGGGUUUUACCAAUGGCAUCAUGAAGUAGGUACUAUUAUCAGUUGCAUUUCAUAGAUGAGGAAACUGGACACAAAGAGGUCAUGGUCAUGGUCAUGGUCAUGCAGCUAGCACAAGGCAAAACCACUUUGUAAAUUCAGGCAGUCUGACGCCAGAGUUCGUGCUUUUAACCACAGCUCUUUUGGGAUGAAAACAAUGACGUAAAUAAAACAUGCAAUUACAAACUGUGAUAAACGCUGUGGAGGGAAAUCUUGGGGUGCAGGAGAGCAAGAAGGGGAUGCUCAACCUAGUAUGAGGGGCCAGGAAAGGCAUCUUUUUGGAAGUGAUAUUUCAAAGAGACUUGAGAGGGUGAGUAGAUGUAAACCAGACAAAGAGUAGAGGAAAGGGCAUGGCGUGCAAAGGAAACAGCCUGUGCAAAGGCCCUGAGGCAGGAGAGUUCAGCACAGGGAGGACCUUUAAAACCCAGUGUAGCAAAAAUACGAGAAUAGGCGUGUAAUGGGGAGUGGGGGACCCCGGAUGGGACAAGGGGACUUGAGGAAAGAUGGGGCUGGAACUGGGCAGACAGCAGAGUUUAAGUUUCAUCCACUCUGCAGCAAGCAGGGUUUAUAGCAGGACAGUGUCUUGGUAUUGUACACCCACCCUCCACCCCUGGGGGACACUGCCAGCACCAGCAAAUGGGAUCUAGGGGCCUCCACAGAACCCAAGCCUGUCCAGCCAUCUCUCCCUCAAGCUCUACUGUAAGUCCUGAAAGCCCAACAUGCUAAUUCUGUCCCUGGGGCUCUGAAAAGUAAUUCACAGCUUCCAGAGUCUCCUGGGAAAGUCAAACCAUUCCAGGAAGUAUAAAGCCUUUGCCAGCUCCUACCUUAAUGAUGGAGCCCUGGCUGUGCGGUAGUUAAGAGCUCAGCUGCUAACCAAAAGGUUGGCAGUUUGAAUCUACUAGCCACUCCUUGGAAACCCUAUGGGACUGUCCUACAGGGUGGCUGUGAGUCGGAAUUGGCUUGAUGGCAAUGAGUUUUAACCUCGAUGACUGGCUUCUCAGCCAAAAAUGAGCCCUUGCUCUGGCCAGGUGCCCUGCUGGCACGGCAGCUGCAGAGAGGAGUUUGUCAGAAUUUUUGCUCUCCAGGGGCCACAGUGUGAUGGGGAGGCAGAUGAGUGAAUGGCUACGGUUUGGUGGGACCUGGGCUGAAACAUAGCAACCACUGUGAGGAUGGUGCAGGACCAGGCAAUGUUUCGUUCUGUUUUAUAUAGGGUUGCUAUGAGUCGGAACCGACUCGGCAGCACCCAGCAACAUCGGUCCCUGGGUGGUGCAAAUUCGUUGUGCUCAAUAUUUUCAACUAUUAACCCAAAGGUUGGCAGUUCAAACCAAUUCAGUGGUGCUGCAGAAGAAAGACCUGGCAAUCUGCUUCCAUUAAGAUGAAAGCCAAGAAAAUCCUGUGGAGCACAGCUCUACCCCGUAACACAUGGGGCUGCUGUUUUUUACUACCCAGAGGUGCCUCAGAAGAAAGGCCUGGCUAUCUACUUCAGAAAAAUCAGCCACUGAAAACCCUACGGAGCAGAGUUCUACUCUGACAAACACGGCAUCGCCGUGAAUUGGAGUCAACCCCACUGCAACUGGCUACUACCCUCCGAGGAUGGCUCUGUCAUAACUCCCACUUUACAGAUGAGAAAACUGAGGAGGAGAGUGGAAUUUUAAAACACUAAAUGGGCUGAAAAAGACCCUUCUGCAUCCUGGAGGAAGGCUGGCAAGACUUGGAGGCUGCCGUUUUUUGGAAUUACUCAUCCGACCACGGUUCUCCACUGGCAUAGAAAGCUGGGAUGCAGCCGCAUGUUUUGUACACAGGGUCUGGAUCUGAACCAUCUACUAAAUAAAGGCUGGAGCAAAAUGUGCCCCAUUGCCAAAGCGGAGCGUAUCUCAAAGAUGACGUUGGCCCCCGACUCAUGGUGACCCCAUGCACAAAGGGAUUGGGACAUCACGAUCCAUAGGGUUUUCACUAGCUGAAUUUUCGAAGUGAAUCACCAGGUCUUUCUUCCUAGUCCAUCAUAGUCUGGAAGCUUCCCUGAAAUGUAUUCAGUAUCAUAGCAACACUGGAGCCUCAACUGACAGACAGAUGGUGGCUGCACUUGAGGUGCUUUGGCUGGGAAUUGAACCUGGGUCUCCACAUGGAAGGCAAGAAUUCUAUCACUGAGUCACUAUUACCCUCAAGGUAUAAUUUGCUUACAGCAAAAAUCACCUUUUUUAAGUAUACAGUUCAAUGAGCUUUGACAAAUAUGUGCAGUCAUGUAACCACCAGCAUAAUCAAGACAUAGGACAUUUCCAUUAUCUUAAAAAUUCCCUUAUAGAAAAAUCAGAUAAAAGAAUAAAAGACAGGAAGAAACCUUAAGAAUCAUGUGGGACUCUAUCAAGAAAAAUAACCUACGAGUGAUUGGAGUACCAGAACAGGGAGGGAUAACAGAAAAUACAGAGAGAAUUGCUGAAGAUUUGUUGGCAGAAAACUUCCCUGAUAUCAUGAAAGAUGAGAAGACAUCUAUCCAAGAUGCUCAUCAAACUCCACAUAAGAUAGAUGUUAAAAGAAAGUCACCAAGACAUAUUAUAAUCAAACUUGCCAAAACCAAAGAUAAAGAGAGAAUUAUAAGAGCAGUGAGGGAUAAACGAAAAGUCACCUACAAAGGAGAGCCAAUAAGAAUAAGCUCAGACUACUUGGCAGAAACCAUGCAGGCAAGAAGGCAAUGGGAUGACAUAUUUAAAAAAUUGAAGGAAAAGAAUGGCCUGCCAAGAAUCAUAUAUCCAGCAAAACUGUCUCUUAAAUAUGAAGGUGAAAGUAAGACAUUUCCAGAUAAACACAAGUUGAGGGAAUUCGUAAAAACCAAAUCAAAGCUACAAGAAAUACUAAAGGGAGUUCUUUGGUUAGAAAAUCAAUAAUAUUGGGUAUCAACCCAAGAUUAGAACACUGGGCAGAGCAACCAGAAGUCAACCCAGACAGGGAAAUCCAAAAAAAAAAAAAAAACAAAGCAAGAUUAUUAAAAGAAAAAAAAAGCUCAAAACAGAGUAACAGCGAUGUUAUUAUAUAAAAGAAGACAACAUUAAAAUAAUAAAGAGGGACUAAGAAAUGUAAUCAUAGAUCUUCUAUAUGGAGAGGAAGAUAACGGUGAUACUAAGAAAUAAAAGUUAGGUUUAAAUUUAGAAAAAUAGGGGUAAAUAAUAAGGUAAUCACAAAGGAGACAAACUAUCCUACUCAUCAAAACAAAAUACAAGGGAAAAAUACAGACUCAGCAGAAUCAAAAUCAACAACAACAAAUAGGAGGAAAGGACAAUAUAUAAAGAAAAUCUACUCAGCACACAAAAUUAAGUUGGAAAAAGAAAUCGUCAACAACACACAAAAAAAAGACAUCAAAAUGAUAGCGCUAAAUUCAUACGUAUCCAUAAUUACACUGAAUGUAAAUGGACUAUAUGCACCAAUAAAGAGACAGAGAGUGGCAGAAUGCAUUAAAAAACAAGAUCCGUCUAUAUGCUGCCUACAAGAGACACACCUUAGACUUAGAGACACAAACAAACUAAAACUCAAAGACUGGAAAAAAAUAUAUCAAGCAAACCACAAUCAAAAAAGAGCAGGAGUGGCAAUAUUAAUUUCUGACAAAAUAGACUUUAAAGUUAAAUCCAUCACAAAAGAUACGGAAGGACACUAUAUAAUGACUAAAGGGACAAUAUACCAAGAAGAUAUAACCAUAUUAAAUAUUUAUGCACCCAAUGACAGGGCUGCAAGAUACAUAAAACAAACUCUAUCAGCAUUGGAAAGUGAGAUAGACAGCUCCUCGAUAAUAGUAGGAGACUUCAAUACACCACUUUUGGUGAAGGACAGGACAUCCAGAAAGAAGUUCAAUAAAGACACGGAAGAUCUAAAUGCCACAAUCAAGAACUUGAUCUCAUAGACAUAUACAGAACACUCCGCCCAACAGCAGCCAAGUAUACUUUCUUUUCUACUGCACAUGGAACAUUCUCUAGAAUAGACCACAUAUUAGGUCAUAAAGCAAGCCUUAGCAGAAUCCAAAACACUGAAAUAUUACAAAGCAUGUUCUCUGAACAUAAGGCCGUGAAAGUGGAAAUCAAUAACAGGAAAAGCAGGGAAAAGAAAUCAAACACUUGGAAACUGAACAAUACCCUGCUUAAAAAACACUGGAUUAUAGAAGACAUUAAGGAUGGAAUAAAGAAAUUCAUAGGAUCCAGUGAGAAUGAAAACACUUCCUAUCCGAAUCUUUGGGACACAGCAAAAGCAGUGCUCCAAGGCCAAUUUGUAUCAAUAAAUGCACACAUCCAAAAAGAAGAAAGGGCCAAAAUCAAAGAAUUAUCCCUAUGACUUGAACAAGUAGAAAGAGAGCAACAAAAGAAACCCACAGGCACCAGAAGAAAGCAAAUAAUAAAAAUUAGAGCAGAACUAAAUGAAAUAGAGAACAGAAAAACAAUGGAAAGAAUUAACAAGACCAAAAGCUGGGUCUUUGAAAAAAUCAACAAAAUUGAUAAACUACUGGCCAAAGUGAAAAAAGAAAAACAGGAGAGGAAGCAAAUAACCAGAAUAAGAAAUGAGAGGGGCGAUAUUACAACAGACCCAACUGAAA